AGAAAAGCUCGCGGCUGACUAGCUAGUUGGUAAGGUAAUGGCUUACCAAGGCGACGAUCAGUAUCUGGUUUGAGAGGACGAUCAGACACACUGGAACUGAGACACGGUCCAGACUCCUACGGGAGGCAGCAGUGGGGAAUUUUCCGCAAUGGGCGAAAGCCUGACGGAGCAAUACCGCGUGAGGGAAGACGGCCUAUGGGUUGUAAACCUCUUUUUUCAGGGAGGAAUCAAUGACGUGUACCUGAAGAAUAAGCAUCGGCUAACUUCCGUGCCCAGCAGCCGCGGUAAGACGGAGGAUGCAAGUGUUAUCCGGAAUCACUGGCCGUAAAGCGUCUGUAGGUGGUUUAAUAAGUCAACUGUUAAAUCUUGGGGCUCAACCUCAAAAUCGCAGUCGAAACUAUUAGACUAGAGUAUUGUAGGGGUAAAGGGAAAUUUCCAGUGGAACCGGUGAAAAUGCCUUAAAAAUUUGGAAAGAACCACCGAUGGGCGAAAGGCCCCUU
rnacentral:rRNA from 1 species